rnacentral:rRNA from 1 species
GACGAACCGUGCAAACGUUAUUCGGAAUCACUGGGCAUAAAGGGCGCGUAGGCGGCUUUCUAAGUCAGGGGUGAAAUCCGGCAGCUCAACUGUCGCAGUGCCUUUGAUACUGGAGAGCUCGAGGGAGGUAGGGGUCUGUGGAACUUCCGGUGGAGCGGUGAAAUGCGUAGAUAUCGUAAGGAAGACCAGUGGCGAAGGCGGGUCUCUGGACAGUUCCUGACGCUGAGGCACGAAGGUCAGGGGAGCAAACGGG